rnacentral:rRNA from 1 species
UGGGGAAUAUUGCACAAUGGGCGCAAGCCUGAUGCAGCCAUGCCGCGUGUGUGAAGAAGGCCUUCGGGUUGUAAAGCACUUUCAGCGGGGAGGAAGGCGUUAAGGUUAAUAACCUUGGCGACUGACGUUACCCGCAGAAGAAGCACCGGCUAACUCCGUGCCAGCAGCCGCGGUAAUACGGAGGGUGCAAGCGUUAAUCGGAAUUACUGGGCGUAAAGCGCACGCAGGCGGUCUGUCAAGUCGGAUGUGAAAUCCCCGGGCUCAACCUGGGAACUGCAUUCGAAACUGGCAGGCUAGAGUCUUGUAGAGGGGGGUAGAAUUCCAGGUGUAGCGGUGAAAUGCGUAGAGAUCUGGAGGAAUACCGGUGGCGAAGGCGGCCGCCUGGACAAAGACUGACGCUCAGGUGCGAAAGAGUGGGGAGCAAACAGG